AUCACUUCUCUGCCUUUUGGCAAAGAUCAUGUGUAUUAUCUGUUUUUAACAGUUUAAUAUCUAAUACGCAUACUUAAAAUGGAUGUUUAGAACAGAGGUCUGGAUAUCUUUAGAUAGAGUCCAGGUGAGAUGGAUCUAUUUAAGUGUUGUCUUGUUAUACUCUGAAGACGUGGCAAAUAUAU